CCUACGGGGGGCAGCAGUGAGGAAUAUUGGUCAAUGGGCGGAAGCCUGAACCAGCCAAGUCGCGUGAGGGAAUAAGGCCCUACGGGUCGUAAACCUCUUUUGCCGGGGAGCAACGGGCGCCACGUGUGGCGUCACUGAGAGUACCCGGAGAAAAAGCAUCGGCUAACUCCGUGCCAGCAGCCGCGGUAAUACGGAGGAUGCGAGCGUUAUCCGGAUUUAUUGGGUUUAAAGGGUGCGUAGGCGGAUCGUUAAGUCAGUGGUCAAAUUGAGGGGCUCAACCCCUUCCCGCCAUUGAAACUGGCGUUCUUGAGUGGAAGAGAAGUAUGUGGAAUGCGUGGUGUAGCGGUGAAAUGCAUAGAUAUCACGCAGAACCCCGAUUGCGAAGGCAGCAUGCCGGCUUCCGACUGACGCUGAAGCACGAAAGCGUGGGGAUCGAACAGGAUUAGAUACCCGGGUAGUC
rnacentral:rRNA from 1 species